CAUGAUCGGUCUGUUGGGUCCGCCACCGCAACAUGUCAUCGAUGCUGGACGAAGAUCAGAAUUAUUUUUUCAGAAAAUGCCUGAUGGUUUGUGGCAGCUGAAGAGACCUACAGAGUGUUUUGGGACCCAUUUCGACGACGCAGUUUACCAGUUCAGCUCUCUGGAUGAAAUCGAAACGGUGUGCUCUGAGACGGACAACCUAGCAGAGGCUGAUGAGAGAAAGGAGUGCAUCGAGCUCCUGAAGGCGAUGCUUCAAUGGGACGAGAAAGACAGAAUCACCCCCAGUGGUAUCCUGAAGCAUCCCUUUAUCACGAGAAGCUACCUCAGCAGCAACUCCC